UACGUAGGGGGCAAGCGUUGUCCGGAUUUAUUGGGCGUAAAGAGCGUGUAGGCGGCCAGGUAGGUCUGCUGUGAAAACUCGAGGCUCAACCUCGAGAUGUCGGCGGAAACCAUCUGGCUAGAGUCCGGAAGAGGAGAGUGGAAUUCCCGGUGUAGCGGUGAAAUGCGCAGAUAUCGGGAAGAACACCCGUGGCGAAGGCGGCUCUCUGGAACGGUACUGACGCUGAGACGCGAAAGCGUGGGGAGCGAACAGG
rnacentral:rRNA from 1 species